rnacentral:rRNA from 1 species
GAUGAACGCUAGCGGAAGGCUUAAUACAUGCAAGUCGAGCGGUAGGUGGCUUCGGCCAUUGAGAGCGGCGCACGGGUGAGUAACGCGUACAUGACCUGCCUGUCAGAAGGGGAUAGCCCUGGGAAACUGGGAUUAAUACCCUAUGGUAUUGAUAUUAUGAAUGAUAUCAAUUAAAGUUGAGGCGCUGACAGAUGGAUGUGCGUCUGAUUAGCUAGUUGGUAGGGUAACGGCCUACCAAGGCGACGAUCAGUAGGGGGGCGUGAGAGCGUGGUCCCCACCACGGGUACGUGAGACACGGACCCGACUCCUACGGGAGGGCAGCAGUAAGGAA